CUUAAGAAUCAUAUUAUGUUUUUAAAACUUAAAUCUGUCAAACGCAAUGUUUUGCCUGAUUUUUCGGUCUAAUACGUCACAUUCAUCUGUAAAAAUGGCAGUACCAUUUCUCCCUAAAUGGGAAUUGGACAGUAGAUUAGUGGAAAAGGAUCUAUUACAAGUUUGGAAAACCCAAUCUGUGACAUUGCAUAGUUCUCAAAUUCUAAACGUUUUUUAAAAAAUAAACGAUAAUUUUAUGGACAAUUUUGAGAGAAUUCGGUAACUUUUAAUUAUUUUACGAGUAUUAUGCUUGUGUGUGUAAAAAUCUUUAUAAAUUAAAUAUCCUAAUUUAUUUAUAAAUAGUUGAUAGAAUUUUUUUUAAAAAUCUUCAAGUAAUAUUAUAUAUUAUAUUUUGGUAGGUAACUGCAUUUUCAAUGUUCACCAGUAUGCAUUUAUAUUUU